ACUCAGUUUAUAUUCUGAUGUUGAUACAUGAAGAAUAUGACGGUUUGUCAAGGGCUCCUAAAGCUGUUAAAACUUACAGGCGUGAAAAUCUGUCGAAGCUGACUUGGGAAGUCUGAAUGUUACUGCCUUCAUAGAAUUCUGUAUCCUGAAAACAUGGAAAUCUCCCUGAUGUCUGAGGUGUGCAUGCAGUUUCACAUUGUGCGAUAUGUGAAUAGCAGCUAAUAUGUGCAUCAGGGAGCUGAAGAGUACAUUGUCUUUUCAUGUAAAGGUAUUAGCAAAGUACCCAGAACUAAGUUCUUCAAGCAGUUAGGAAAGCUGAUGGAGCAUAGCAGAGCUGGAGACUUUUCUUUUUGUUUAGCAGACCGUGUUGUGUCUGGGCUCAGCACACACCCAGAAAAAACAGAAAUAUUUGCAGAAUGAUUCAGCUCAUACAAGAUGGAUCUUAAAACACCUUAAACAGGUGAAGAUAUGUGAACACCCUCCAUGGUGAAAAAACAGCCAUGGACAUCUGGAGUCCUGACUUGGUGCCCUUUACAGAAGGAACAUCUACACAGGCCAUAUUCUUCAGCCUGUCAAAAUGGUAAUGCAGAGAAGAUAUGAAAAAGGAUUAGAAGAUCAUGACUGCCAUGGAGAUAAAGAAGUGCCCACUAUUUUUUCAGAUACCAGAAGUGUGGACAUUAAAUGAAGGCAACAUUCACAGCCUCAGAGGAGACCAUGGUGGUUCUGCACACAGCGUGUAACUGAGGAUUACCUGCCAUGAGCCUGUGUGCUGUGGGCAUUUAUCCUUUAUGGGGCUCAGUGAGCAUCUGGAGAAGUCCACAGAAAAGAAAUCCAGCAAGGACUGCUAAUAGGAAGCCUGUGAAGUGCAAAUUUUUGGAGGCUGGCAGGGUUUUCUGGGUAAAAAUCACUAAAUGUUUGCUCCUUUCUUGCAUUAUUUCCUAAGCAUCCACUCUUGGUAAUUGUCAAGGACAACUGGGCUUGAAUGCAUGUCUUGCACAAACUCGUAAGAU